AAGACAACAAGAGGGUUAUUCAUCUCGUCUCAAACUAUUUCCGCCCUCCAUUUGAGUGACAUUUGGUUCCUUCUCGGUUCGUUCUAUUUUAAAAGGCACCACUUCCUCAGUGCUCCAAAUCACUUGAAACACGCCGUUGAGCUUUAGGUUAUUCUACAAGCGAAGCUAAGAAGUUGAUCUCGGUGCUACAAGCUAGUGGUGAAGCCUCACAUCCCUGUGUGCAAGCACUCGAUUACGCUUCUUCUUUGAUUUAUUUGUUGUUUUAUUGACGCUUUUGGAAUAGAAAGAGAUUUAUUAUGGCAGGAGCACAAGCUGGACUUGAGGUUCUUAACAAGGCGCUAGCAGUUGGGAUGAAUGCUUUAGACAGCAUUUCUGAACACUACUUUGAAAACGAGGCAAUGAUUGCCUGGUGGAAUGACUGGAAAGCGAGAGACCAGAGGGCUAAAAUCGAGAAAACUUAAAACCACGGUCGCUUUUCCAGGGAGAAACGUACUUUAGGUAUAGUCAAUGGCAGAAGGUACUGUUGCUUUACUCAAGAAGGCUUGCGGGCCAAAGGACAGCCUCUUGACUAAAGGACUGAGGAUUAUAGAGUGUCGAAGAUAUUCCGUCCGCCAGUAGUUUCUCGAUAGAGCUUUUACAGUUUUGAUCAUUUUUUUUUUCUAGUUUUCACCUACGUUAAUUGUCAUGUAAAAUUUCAAAAGAGAUGUACAAUUUAGCUGUUCUUACGAGACAUUAAGGCAAAAUAGUCCUCCUCUUUUCAUUCAGAAGUAAAGCGACCGCUUUUCCUCGUAGACUACAAAUAAAAAGAAAGGGAGAACA